AUUGAACGCUGGCGGCAGGCCUAACACAUGCAAGUCGAGCGGCAGCGGGAAGUAGCUUGCUACUUUGCCGGCGAGCGGCGGACGGGUGAGUAAUGUCUGGGGAACUGCCUGAUGGAGGGGGAUAACUACUGGAAACGGUAGCUAAUACCGCAUAACGUCGCAAGACCAAAGUGGGGGACCUUCGGGCCUCAUGCCAUCGGAUGUACCCAGAUGGGAUUAGCUAGUAGGUGAGGUAAUGGCUCACCUAGGCGACGAUCCCUAGCUGGUCUGAGAGGAUGACCAGCCACACUGGAACUGAGACACGGUCCAGACUCCUACGGGAGGCAGCAGUGGGGAAUAUUGCACAAUGGGCGCAAGCCUGAUGCAGCCAUGCCGCGUGUAUGAAGAAGGCCUUCGGGUUGUAAAGUACUUUCAGCGGGGAGGAAGGUGUUGUGGUUAAUAACCGCAGCAAUUGACGUUACCCGCAGAAGAAGCACCGGCUAACUCCGUGCCAGCAGCCGCCGUAAUAC
rnacentral:rRNA from 1 species